rnacentral:rRNA from 1 species
UACGGAGGGAGCUAGCGUUGUUCGGAAUUACUGGGCGUAAAGCGCACGUAGGCGGCUUUGUAAGUUAGAGGUGAAAGCCCGGGGCUCAACCCCGGAAUUGCCUUUAAGACUGCAUCGCUUGAAUCCGGGAGAGGUGAGUGGAAUUCCGAGUGUAGAGGUGAAAUUCGUAGUUAUUCGGAAGAACACCAGUGGCGAAGGCGGCUCACUGGACCGGUAUUGACGCUGAGGUGCGAAAGCGUGGGGAGCAAACAGG